AUAGCGUAUAUUAAAGUUGUUGCAGUUAAAAAGCUCGUAGUUGAACUUCCGAUUUGGUCGGGUGGUCCGCUUAACGGCGUGUUACUGCUUGGCUGGGUCUUGUCUCUUGGUGAACCAUUGUGCCCUUUAUUGGUGUGCUUUGGGGAACCAGGACUUUUACCUUGAGAAAAUUAGAGUGUUCAAAGCAGGCCUAUGCCUGGAUACAUUAGCAUGGAAUAAUAGAAUAGGACGUGUGGUUCUAUUUUGUUGGUUUCUAGAAUUGCCGUAAUGAUUAAUAGGGAUAGUUGGGGGCAUUGGUAUUCAGUCGCUAGAGGUGAAAUUCUUGGAUUGACUGAAGACCGACUAUUG
rnacentral:rRNA from 1 species